rnacentral:rRNA from 1 species
AUUGAACGCUGGUGGCAGGCCUAACACAUGCAAGUCGAACGAGUGGCGGACGGGUGAGUAAUUUCUUGGAAACUGCCUGAUGUAGGGGGAUAACUACUGGAAACGGUAGCUAAUACCGCAUACCAUCAGAUGUGUCCAGAUGGGAUUAGCUAGUUGGUGGGGUAACGGCUCACCAAGGCGACGAUCCCUAGCUGGUCUGAGAGGAUGACCAGCCACACUGGAAAUGAGACACGGUCCAGACUCCUACGGGAGGCAGCAGUGGGGAAUAUUGCACAAUGGGCGCAAGCCUGAUGCAGCCAUGCCGCGUGUAUGAAGAAGGCUUUCGGGUUGUAAAGUACUUUCGGAGGGGAGGCGGUACCCACAGAAGAAGCACCGGCUAACUCCGUGCCAGCAGCCGCGGUAAUUC